rnacentral:lncRNA from 1 species
AUGGCAGGGGUUUUCUGCCCUGGAAACAGAAGGCCCCGGGCACACGGCCCCUCCACUUCCAGCAGAACGGCCGGAGCGGGAGGCCUAGCCCAGCUCUGUCCCCCUGUGGGUGAACUCUCACCAGGCAGGAGCCACAGCAGGCUGGGCCUGGAGCAGGGAAGGCCCCAGGACCUGCUCCCUCCAGCCCCGCCCUGCCCUGGCUGCCGCGCUGACCCACGGGAGCCUGUGGGGCCCAGGCUGGGUGGCCAACAGCAGAAGCGCCUGGGCCGGGCACGCUCAGGGCUCCUGAGGUGCGGAGGCGCCUGGGCGAGGCCACUGUGGCCCAGCCUGCGGCACCUCCGCCUUGGCCCCUGCUGCACACACACCAGCUGUAGCUCCUCACGGCUGGGCUCCAAGACGGACAGCGCCUGGGCUGCCACCGAGGGGGGACUGGGUGCCUGGUGGGCCUGGUCGCCCAGGCCUGGGGAGCCAGGGGACCAGGCGAGGGCAGGCACCUGCUCUCGCUCCUGCCACGUCCCUCUCUCUGCUCCUCCCCCCACGCCUGAGGAUCCCCGAGUGCUCCCAGGAGCCCGUCCUGCUGCCCCAAGGCACAACCAUACCCGGCCCCCGGAGCCACAGGGCGGCAGGGAGACCCCCGGCCACGGCCUUCUGAGCCCAGCUUCUCUGUCUCUGCCGCCUGACCGCCAGCCCCACGCACACACACGGUCCCUGCCCAGAACCCAGAAUAUUCCAGUAAAGUCAGGAACGAGCAAAGCCACGGCCACCCCCAGGGUCACUGCCAGGGUUCUGUGGGAGACAGGAGGGCUCAGCCGUGGGAGGGAGGGAGAGGCCGGCCCCUUCCCAGGAAACCAGCAGGGCGGCCCCUCUGCAGUCGGCAACCUGAGCAACCCCCAGCGCAGCAGCAGCAGCAGGGGGCCCGGCCCUGUGCCCUCCCAUUCACCCACGGGCCCCGGUGGUGACAGCAGGUGCCCGGCCCUGUGCCCUCCCAUUCACCCACGGGCCCCGGUGGUGACAGCAGGUGCCCGGCCCUGUGCCCUCCCAUUCACCCACGGGCCCCGGUGGUGA